UCAACAUGUCCAGGUCGCUUCCCGUAGAUAACCCCGAGAGGAUUGUUUUGAAAAAUAUACAAGCCGUAAACAUUAUUGAAGCAUUGUAGAAGCCCAGGGAUGAUUAAAACAAUUUUAAGUCACCCAUUUCUUUAUGCCCGGGACACCCGAUCAACCAAAGGAAACUUGAACUGUUGAAGGUCACAAACAUGCGAGAUUGCAGACCCACGUUGCCUCGAUCGCCUGAUGUCAUGUCGGGUCACUGUGCAGUGAGAUUGUACAUGAGCAAACAGCCCUACAGUACUUAAUUUACCCAGGAGUAGACUACCGGUACUUGUAGUUGAAGAUAGACUGAAGGCCAGACUUAGGCAGGAUGAUUGAACAAAAUCUUAUUGCAGAUGGACUACUGAGGCAAAAAAAUUGGACUCUCAGGAGGUGAACAGAUGUUCAGCAAGAAAUUCGCACAUCAAAUGCUGUAAAUUACACUGAUAUCCCCCCCCCCCCCCCCCCCCCCCAAAAAAAAAAAAGAACAGAGAGACCAAUCAGUAACAGCUUGAGACUUGGUGCACAUAACCUUGCCACAGAAAAGGGGAUUUGCCUAUAAACACUCCCUAAUGAAAGAUUUUGUAAAUUAUUUGUUACACAGGAGAGAUUUAAGAUGUAUUUCGUUUUUAUUUAGCUACCAAAAAUACAAUAAUUUGAAAGGAAGUUGCUGUAUUUUUUUCUUGAAAGGAAAAGUAUCAAAUUUGUCUCAUAUACCUUUGAUAGUCAAUGUACAGAAAUACUGAAAAUAACACUUAUUUAUUAAGAAAUUCCAUAUAUUUAGAAAUCAUUGUAAUACAUAUUUAUUGUGUAUUAUUGUGUAAAUUAUAUUAUUGUGUGAUUUAUGUAAAGCCUCAAAAUCUAGAUGCAGUGUAUUGUAUAAAAUUAUAUGAACAAUUGGUGAUUCUUAUACUAGUAUGUUGCACCCUUGACAAUUAUUGUAAUUGUGUUGGUGCUGAUAAAUAUUUAUAUACAUGUCAUAUAUUAGUUCAUGUACAAAACAUAUUAAGAUUCUAUAAUAUAACAUAAAGUUUUGGCCUUUAACUCGGCUAAAAUAUACAUGUAUUUUGUUCGCGAACCUUUACUUUUUUUGUAAAUAAUGAAACCAGUAUAUUUUAUAACAGAGGAAAUUCGGAUUGAAUUUUUAAAAGUUUUUUGGAAACAUGGCAAUAAUUUCACCAAUCAUUUCCAAAAUACAUCAUAUCACAUUUUAGAGAAAAUGUAUUAUCUAACCGCCUGUCCUGUCCCUUAAAUUAUUAGCCUAUAUGAUAUAUUGAAAGCAUUUUCUUUUUUCAAUGAUAAUUUUUAAAAUGAGGAAAUUCGAGCUAACCUGGCAAUUUAAUAAAUAUGAAUACCCCUUUAUUUUUUUGUUGUAAAUGAUUCAUUCAACAUCUAUCUUUCCUAUGGUUGUAAAAAUAUUUUUUUUCUGAAUAUAUGAUUUAAGUAAAAAUAUUAAAUGAAAAAGAAUGAUUGUCAAAGACUAAAAUAUCACUUUAUAAAGAGUACAAAGGAAAUUCGGAAUAAAUAUUUUGUGUCAUUUGUGAUCAAAAGAUUGUUAUUUUUUUACUUUAGUACAUUGCUUUAACAUAAAACUUAAGACCUAGAUUGUUUUUUCAUAUCUAAACAUCUCCAUUUUUCCAAAACAUCAAUUUUAAAAUACCACAUUGGAUUUUCUCAAUUCCACAGGAGGAAAAAAUCUAUAUUUAGCAUCAACUUUUCAAAUGACCUUCAAGCAAAAUCAAGGAUGAUGACCCCACACCUUUUUCUUGUCAUUUAAUUGUGCAUAUCUUGAAAUGUUUCCAUGCAUAAUUGCAGUAUUUUCUGAAUAUAUAAAGUAGGAAAAGAAUCCAGAAUGUAUUUUAUAAAAUUGUCAAACCUAACUUAUUCGUAGGAAUA